AGAAGGAUAUCUUGAAUGGAAUUUCCAAUUCAGUGAGUCCUGGAGAAGUUUUGGUAUUGAUGAGGCCCUUGGGAAGCAGAAAGACUACGCUUCUGAGCCUGCUUGGCGGUCGGUUGUGAGAGCCGGCCCCUGGUGGUUUUGUUACUUACAACGACCAACCUUACUCCAAGUUCUUAAAAAACAGGAUAGAAUUCGUGACUCAAGACAACGUGUUGUUUCCUCACCUUACAGUGAAGGAGACAUUGACAUAUGCAGCUCUACUACGACUUCCAAAGACGCUGGCAAAAGAGGAAAAGGAGAAACGAGCCAUAGAUGUGAUCUGCGAGCUGGGCUUGGAGAGGUGCUAGGACACAAUGAUCGGCGGGUCCUUUGUUCGAGGAAUUUCGGGGGGAGAGAGGAAGCGAGUCUGUAUUGGCAAUGAGAUCAUAAUCAACCCUUCCCUGUUGUUUCUUGAUGAAC